ACAGUCCCCAGGAGAGGCUGGUGCAGGAAGGCUCAGACACUGUGUUCUCUGACAUAAUUUAUGGCUUCUAUGAGGCUGUCUUGUAGGAUGCCCAUGACGAUCCUCCAGACACUAAGAUGAGAAAACUAAGGCCCAAAGGGACACCUGGCUUUCCUAAGACCUGUAAGUGGAAGAGUCAGCAUUUGAAUGGAGAACUCGCAGCUUUCGGAGUCUAGACUUGUUUUACCUCACCAGACUGCUUCUACUCCUAGUGAUUCCUUCCCUUAGAUUAAGCCUUGCUCUCUUCCCGUGCAAUCAUGAAGAGGAUUAUAUUAGUAAAUCCCUGAACAUUCCCUGAUUGGGGAGUGAGGGUCAAACCAAGGCAAAUGGCAGGAUUGACACUCACAUCAAGGGCUGGCUCAUUAAGGGCUCGGGACCUGGCGAUCGAGUUGCAUUGCAGAUUUUGGAAGUAUGCAAGACCACGCCAGCCACCUUUCCAGGGAGAGACCAUGCAAAGAAGGCAGGUGAUCCAAGGGCUGGGAGUGGUGAGGACUGCUCCAGCCCCUGAGCAGCUGUCAUCCCAGCACAAAGUGUCAGAAGAGACCUCAAAGUGUGGUCUGCAGACGAGGCAGCAUCUGCAUCACCUGGGAGCUUGUUAGAAAUGCAGAAUCUUCUGAGAGAACCAGACCUGCUGCAUCAAAAUCUGCAUUUUAACAAGAUUGUAACUUAGAUACACAGUAACACUUAAAAAGGAUGGGGCAGAGAGGCUAAGUCAGCAGCUUCUCAUCACACUCCAAUCUGAUGCUGCUAGUGCUCCAAAAAGCUCUCAUAUCCUCACUGACUAGCCUAGGGCUGUGUCUAUCAAUGCAUUAUAUGACACAGAUGAAGACUAUUGUGUACCUUCCUCAAUUUUUACCCCAUUGUUUCAGCCUUUUGUACAUCUUUAAUGCAAACAUCCAUGCGAGAAUUCUUGUGACAUUAAUUUUUUGGAACAACCUGUUUUGCAGAGCAAAUUUCAUUAAGCCAUUUUAAUCCAGAGUUUAAUUUUUUAUACAGCUCGACUCAAUCAUUUCCAUUUUUUUUCCAUUAGAAUGUCUAUUUGUAGUAACAUUAUUUUCAUGGGAUCAAUUAUUUUCUGUUUAAAUUUACAACAGGCAUUUGACUCAUCAGUCUCUUUUUAUAUACCAUCUUUUUGCUGAUUCUGACUUCUGCUAUUUGGAGAGGUUUUCUUGUUUGUGUGUUUGAUUCUUUUGUGGCCAUUCUUUCUAUUAAGUGAAAAUCGUCUGGAUCAAAUUUUGUAGAUUUAAAUUUUGUUAUUAGUGAUACCUGUUUUUUUUCCCUGUCAAUUUUAGCUCAUUACACAUUCUAGUCAUUUUAACCCUGCUAGUUUUGUUAGUUGCUGAUCACUUUUACCAUACCAGUAAUACGUGGUAGAAAUAAUCACCAGAAUGAAAACUCUGCAAAGGCAGGAUUUCUGUCCCUUUUUUUUUUUGUUUUUUUUUUUUUCCUGCCUUAUACUUGAGACUUAGUGCAUGGCACAUAGAAAGUGCUCCAUAUGGCCAGGCGCAGUGACUCACGCCUGUAAUCCUUGCACUUUGGGAAGCCAAGGCAGGUGGAUCACUUGAGGUCAGGAGUUUGAGACCAGCCUGGCCAACAUGGUGAAACCCCGUCUGUACUAAAAAUACAAAACAUUAGCCAGGCAUGGUGGCGGGCACCUGUAGUCCCAGCUACUCGGGAGGCUGAGGCAGAGAAUCACUUGAACCCAGGAGGCAGAGGUUGUGGUGAGGUGAAGUCACACCACUGCACUCCAGCCUGGGUGACAGAGCGAAACUCCAUUUAAAAAAAAAAGAAAGAAAGUACUCCAUAAAUAUUUGUAGGUGGAAAGAAUGAUAUUCACAUAUGAUUUAAUCAAAGACUGACAGUUUAUCUAUUUGAUAAAAAGACUGUGAGAAGCAGAGAUUGAUGGAGACAGGAGAGAAAGUGGAGGAGAAGAGAAGAUGGAGACAGCACACACACAUGCACAGACUUGAACAUGCAGACACACAUUGCACAUGCACAUGCAUGCACACAGCCACACACGUAUACACAAACACACAUGCGUGCACACAGCCACACGUAUACACAAACACAUGCGUGCACACACCACACACAUAUAUGUAAGCACACAUGCAUGCACACAGGCAUACACAUAUACAUAAACACGCAUGCACACAGCCACACACAUAUACACACAAGCAUGCACAUACACAGAGGCAUAUAUACACAUGCACUAACAUACGCAUAGUCACAGAUACACCUGUAGGUGCAAACACCUAUAUAUGUGUUCACAUUCAUACACGGGAGUUAUUAUAUUUGUGCUCACACAUGUAGAGGGUAGAAUUGUGGUUAUUAGAUGCUGGGAAGAGUAGAGGAAGAGAAGAUAGGGAGAGGCUGGUUGGUGGAUACAAAGUUACAGCUGAAUGAGAGAUAAUUUUGACUGUUCUGUAUACUGUAGGAUGAAUAUGGUUAACAAUAACUUAGUGUAUAUUUUCAAAAAGCCAGAAGAGAGGAUCUUGAAUGUUCACAGCACAAAUAAAUGAUAAAUGUUUGAGGUGAUG
ensembl:lncRNA LINC02177 long intergenic non-protein coding RNA 2177